rnacentral:rRNA from 1 species
AUGCAAGUCGAGGGGUAUAGUUCUUCGGAACUAGAGACCGGCGCACGGGUGCGUAACGCGUAUGCAAUCUACCUUUUACAGGGGAAUAGCCCAGAGAAAUUUGGAUUAAUGCCCCAUAGUAUAGUUUUUUCGCAUGAAGAGAUUAUUAAAGUUCCAACGGUAAAAGAUGAGCAUGCGUCCCAUUAGCUAGAUGGUAAGGUAACGGCUUACCAUGGCGACGAUGGGUAGGGGUCCUGAGAGGGAGAUCCCCCACACUGGUACUGAGACACGGACCAGACUCCUACGGGAGGCAGCAGUGAGGAAUAUUGGUCAAUGGACGCAAGUCUGAACCAGCCAUGCCGCGUGCAGGAUGACGGUCCUAUGGAUUGUAAACUGCUUUUGUACGAGAAGAAACACUGCUACGUGUAGCAGCUUGACGGUAUCGUAAGAAUAAGGAUCGGCUAACUCCGUGCCAGCAGCCGCGGUAAUACGGAGGAUCCAAGCGUUAUCCGGAAUCAUUGGGUUUAAAGGGUCCGUAGGCGGUCAGAUAAGUCAGUGGUGAAAGCCCAUCGCUCAACGGUGGAACGGCCAUUGAUACUGUCUGACUUGAAUUAUUAGGAAGUAACUAGAAUAUGUAGUGUAGCGGUGAAAUGCUUAGAGAUUACAUGGAAUACCAAUUGCGAAGGCAGGUUACUACUAAUGGAUUGACGCUGAUGGACGAAAGCGUGGGUAGCGAACAGGAUUAGAUACCCUGGUAGUCCACGCCGUAAACGAUGGAUACUAGCUGUUGGGAGCAAUCUCAGUGGCUAAGCGAAAGUGAUAAGUAUCCCACCUGGGGAGUACGUUCGCAAGAAUGAAACUCAAAGGAAUUGACGGGGGCCCGCACAAGCGGUGGAGCAUGUGGUUUAAUUCGAUGAUACGCGAGGAACCUUACCAACGCUUAAAUGUAGAUUGACCGGUUUGGAAACAGAUCUUUCGCAAGACAAUUUACAAGGUGCUGCAUGGUUGUCGUCAGCUCGUGCCGUGAGUGUCAGGUUAAGUCCUAUAACGAGCGCAACCCUGUGUAGCUGCAGCGAGUAUGUCGGAACUCUACAGACUGCAGUGCAAACUGUNAGAAGUGGGGAUGACGUCAAUCAUCACGNCCUACGC